UAAGUGGGAAACGAUGUGGGAAGGCCCAGACAGCCAGGAUGUUGGCUUAGAAGCAGCCAUCAUUUAAAGAAAGCGUAAUAGCUCACUGGUCGAGUCGGCCUGCGCGGAAGAUGUAACGGGGCUAAACUAUGCACCGAAGCUGCGGCAGCGACACUAUGUGUUGUUGGGUAGGGGAGCGUUCUGUAAGCCUGUGAAGGUGUGUCGUGAGGCAUGCUGGAGGUAUCAGAAGUGCGAAUGCUGACAUAAGUAACGAUAAAGCGGGUGAAAAGCCCGCUCGCCGGAAGACCAA
rnacentral:rRNA from 3 species